GUUGCGGUUAGUCUCGCCGUGGUUCCCUCUUGGCCUGCUCGCUGCUCUGCUCCUGGUCUCGGUAGUGGUCUCCGGUAGUGGUCUCGGCUGGUGGUCUCUUCUGGCUCUUCAGUGGAAGGCUGCUAGUGAGCAAGUGCUAUCGAGGGUAGCUGAGUAGCCCCCUUUUAUUCACAGUCCCCGAGUUCACCUGCGCUGCUAUUGGCCGGCGGUGCUCGGCCAAUAGAAACGCAGGAACGGGUGGCGGCGACUGAGGCGCACCCUGGUGGCGGGUGGGUCAACCACUCAUUUGGUUGAUGCGUGGCGUGGGGAGCAGAGCAGAGCGGCAGGCUGAAAGAUGUUGUGGAAGUCAAGGACUACCUGAGUUAGAAGAGAAUCCACGGAUUUAUCAUCAUAAUUGACGAUCUCUGGACUCAAACAGCUAAUCUUAUGUAUUAUAAUCUAUUGAGCUGGAUCCGCUCCCAACAGUGACAGUGAGAAUAUAUUUUCCAUGAGUUGUUAUUGGACUGUUUCAACUCAGCCCGGCCGAGCCAGUAUGAAUAAUCCCAUUAGAACGUAUGGGGAUUAUAUUUUCACUGUCACUGUUGUGUACGGAUCCACUUGUAAAUAGUAGGCUACCUUUUAGUUAUUAUCUCUGAUUUCUAGUUUUGUCCGGUCUAGUUUGGUUUUUGUGUACGGAUUAUAUUGUAUAUAUAGUAGGCUACCUUUCAGUUAUUUUUUUUCGUUCAUUAAAGGCCGUUUGCACAGUCAACGCUUGAACUGAAUUUGAUCAGCUGGUGGCUUAAACUAAAAAUGGACCACAUUUUAACGUACGAGCAAAGACCUUAAAGAGAUAUAGACCCACAAUGCCUAUGCCUUCCCAAUGAUAGCUCUUACUUGAAAUUGGAGGCCGCCAUUGGGGUAUUUUUAGCACGAGAUAUUAUAUAUUAUUUAUUUGUAAUACUAUAGAUCACAAAGGCAUUGGUGGCAUUGGUAUUUAAUAAUCUUAUGGGUUGCCCCCUCAAUGGCGGAUUUCAAUUGCAAGUACAACACUAGCGCUGCAUGUGAGUCUAUGCAUCUUUAAGGUCUUUGCGAACGAGAAUUGGAUUUAAUCCAGUCUAAAAUGAAAUUUAGUUUAAACUGAUACGGUGCAAACGGCCCUAACAGUUAUUCAGUUCAUUAACUUUUUUCUAUUUUACAAGACAUAUUUCUACUUUUUAUUUUGUCUAUAAAUUGUCAUAGUAAUUUAUUUUAUCUGAAAUUACUUUUUCAUUUAAUAUGUACAUUAGUAUGUUCAUCCAAAGCUGUGUUGUCCCUGAAGCGUAAUAAUUAGUCUGAUUAGAUUAGAGUUCUUUAUUCAAGUAAGUCACCUGUUUAAACUUUUUUUAUUUAAUUCCUAUAAGCUCUAAUUGGACUAUUGCUACUCUGUCCGGCCAAGCGUGUAUGAAUAAUCACAUUAAAACGUAUGGGAAUUAUAUAUUUUAUUUUAUAUUUUUUCAAGGAUCAAAUUAAUGUGAACAUUUCAUUACAAAUACAUUUUUACUUCAUUAAGAAAUGUGACUUAAAUUGAGAAACAAAAUGAUGAAUAAAUGAGAAGUUGAUAACUAACAAAAAA